CCUACGGGUGGCAGCAGUGGGGAAUAUUGGACAAUGGGGGGAACCCUGAUCCAGUGACGCCGCGUGAGUGAAGAAGUAUUUCGGUAUGUAAAGCCCUAUCAGCAGGGAAGAAAGAAAUGACGGUACCUGACUAAGAAGCCCCGGCUAACUACGUGCCAGCAGCCGCGGUAAUACGUAGGGGGCAAGCGUUAUCCGGAUUUACUGGGGGUAAAGGGAGCGUAGACGGCGAUGCAAGGCGGAAGGUAAAGGCGGGGGCCCAACCUCCGGACUGCUUUGGAAACUGUAUGGCUGGAGUGCAGGAGGGGUAAGUGGAAUUCCGAGUGUAGCGGUGAAAUGCGUAGAUAUUAGGAGGAACACCAGUGGCGAAGGCGGCUUACUGGACUGUAACUGACGUUGAGGCUCGAAGGCGUGGGGAGCGAACAGGAUUAGAUACCCCAGUAGUC
rnacentral:rRNA from 1 species